CUUCUGCUCGAUGGAAACACAGAGGAGGUGUUAAAGAACAGGUACGAAUCUUUACAGAAAGUAGGGCUGCACGAUUUUUUUCUCUGAAGACUCGAUUUUGGAUUUCCAAAAAUUGACUAAAGACAGAAGAAGAGUACUGAGCAUGUGUAGAACCCGGGAUUUCCACCGGAUUCGGAACGGCUCCGAUCCGGAAUGGCGUACACUAAUUCCCACCGGAAUUUAGUUGCGGAUUACGGAGAGCAGGAAUCACAAAAACUCACCAGAACCGGCGGAUUCACAUUCAAUCGGUCGAUAACGAGUUGUCUCUAUAGAGACAGACACAUAGACAUAUAAGCAGUAGAUUGUGUCCUUCCAGAGGAGGAAAUCUACUUCUAGACUUCUAGAAUCAGCAUCUCCUCAUCCAUGGUGUCAUCGGGGUGAAAUGACGUCUAAAAACCUUUCACUUGUUCGUCUCCGCCUGUUUGCAUGGUGUGAAAUACGAUCCUCCUGAAACACAGAGUGUUUUAUUUUGAAAAGAAGCCGGAUGUUUUAUUUUGUGUCUGUGUCCGACUUCCUUUCCAGCACGGGUUAAUGUGUUCUGAAUUUAUCCGCCAUGCUCCGGCGUCCAGAAAAAAUAGAACUUGUAUGAUUACAAUCAGCUACGAUCGGCCGAUAAGGCCUUGUCACAGCCGUCUGGAUCCAAUGGAGAUUGGGGGUCAAGGUUGUUUUGGCCGGACACGAUAAGGCGCCAUAAAAGAGUUCCUCUGUGUGUCACAUGAUCGUUUCCAGAGAUGCAGAUAGACAUCCACACGGGGAUGAAAUGGUCGUCAUUCACGGAUUUAUUCACUCUCUGACCCGAUGUCCACAAGUACUGUUUACAGUAUCCAAAUUUCUCCUGAAUUCGUUUCCGUGGUGACAGGUUGAUACCGUCUUCAGACAGACUUUACAGCGAGGAGUGGUUUGCUCUUCGUCCGACGCUGUGAAGUCGUACCAAUUCCACACAACUGACUCGCUCUUGUCCUAUUUAACCACGAAAUUAUCACCUCCUUUUGCAAACGCCAUGUUUGUUUACUUUCUGGUGUGUGUGGGGGAACCGGGGAGUGCUCCCACAGGAUGGGUGGCCCGGAGGCGCGAGACAUGACAGAGAGGAAAAUGGAUUUGAUGUCGGAAACAUCUAAAAGCUGAGACGAUGCAGAGAUACCUAAAAAUAGAUGUGAGGACAGCUUUUAAUCAGACUACAAGGACGCCUUUACACUGGUCCUUCGAAAACAAACGCUGAGGAUGCCUUAAAGCGACACCAAAGGUUUCUUUAGAGGGUCCUUGAAAACUGGGGAGACCUUGAAACUGACAUGUGAGGUUUUUACAAAAUACACUUAAAACAGAGUAAAAUAGGGCGUCUAUGAGAGUGACAUCGUAGGGAACCUUAAACACAGGGUAGUUUAUAGAUGUGUUUCCAAACGUCCUUUUGUCUCCUGCGUCGUAAUUACCCGGUCUACAGUUAACUCCACACGAGUGUUCAAAUUCUCAAAUCUACAGACCACAGGCUGCAGGAGGAUGUCUAACAUCAAUAACUUCAUAGGUGGCCGAGCGUGUAAUUGCUGUGGGGAUUCACUGCCUCUCAUUUGCUCACUGAACUCCUCCCACUCUGUGUUCAUGUCAGCAGGCAACACUGCAGACAGCAGCUUCGAGUGACUGAGGACUGUUAAUGAGCUCAUUACCCUCCACGGGCCGCACACGGAUCACUUCAGCACCAACAAACUGUCACACUGGGUCAGAGGAGCGGCUCUAAAUCUGAGUGGAAGUGACGGACACGUUUGAACUGCUUAUUUCACGAGCUUCCUUCCGAUCAAAUUAGAUCAUCGUAUCACAUCCGUAAAGUCGGCCUGUUCGGCUGAUUUGUACUAACUAUAAUGCAGGAAAGGAGGAU